AUACAUCCUCAUAGAUGUAUUUGUUUGUGGUUUUGUGGGCAACAGUGGAGCCAUACUUUUAAAAUAUAAUUUUACUUGUAAAGUCCCUGUUAAUAUAAUUCUUUUGUAUAACUCAAUUUGUAAGUCCAUUUUAUAUCUUCUUAAUAGUUAUUUUGAGGUAUAGAUAACAUAUUGAUGGAAGCCAUGAAACUCAAACUCUAAGGACCAAGGAACCAAGCAUUUAUUGAGCCAUUCAUAGAUGCUACCCAGAAAAGGAAAGGACUGGAUCUUGGGACAGGUUGCCACAACUAUCAAUAGCAAAGUUGUGAAGCAGAUCAGAGCCAAGAAUACUUUAAAAUUCUUGGGGUAAUUUUUUCUUGGUAAAAAAAACUUUGGGGUAGGCAAGCACUGUGAAUUACAUUGACUUAUAGAUCAAAGAGGUGGGAUAAUCUUGAGCAGGAAAGCUUUUUGGGUAGGAGGGAAGUCAUGAAGAGAAUAACUGUUGUGUCUAGAUUGGUUGAAGUUAACAGUCCCAAAAGUUAUAAGCAAACAAAGUGUGGUGACCCUGUUGCUCACUAUGUUUGGAUUUCACUCAAGAUUUCAACAUUAUUGUCCUUUUUUCUUUUUCUUUCUUUCUUUCUUUUUUUUUCCUGGUUUUUCCCCAAGCUGUUAGCUGGUUAACUUUCCUGACUUCUUUUGCCCUCCACCCUCUGGCUUUUAUCAUUAAGUUUAGGACAUUUCAAAACUUUUUUCUUUUAUCAAAACUACCCCUGUUCCAAUAGAAUUUUUCUAGUUUCAUCUUAUUACACAAGUAACAUAUGUUUAUAAAAACCUCAAAUGAUAUAGGAAUUAAUAAAGUAAAAAAGUGGAAGUCUCACAUCAGAGGUGAGAGUGAUGGGUGUAUCAGUUGCAGAUGUUAAUUCAUUCUUUCACAGUUAACAUACAUUUUAACAGAGAAGUUCAUGGCACUGUACUCAAAGUCUGAGUUCACAGAGUCAUCAAAAGAGCUGUAUCAGAAAUUCCUAUCUGCUCAAUCUGUAUUUGUUUCCCACUGGCUUCUGUGGUUUUCCAUUCUAACAUUGCUUUGCAUUUGCCCUUCAACUUGUUCCUUUUCUCCUGUUUUGAAUUCUUUGAACAUUUUUUGGAUGGUGACCAUUCUCCAAUAUAUCCCCUACUCGUUCACAGCCCUGUGUUCACACACUGGGAGAGACAUACUUCAGAACUUCACAGUGCCUUCAUGAACAUCAGCUCCAACGAGGUAGCUCUUUACCAUCCUCCCGACCUGUGACCUGUGUCACCUGCCAUCUGCUUCCCCUUCUCUGAUACACACACCCUGGCUGUUCUUGGCAAAAUCUAUCCUUUUGUCUUUUCAUCUUCUCCUUGACAAGUUAAUAUCUCUUUCCAAUUUUAUGCCUCAUUAAUUAACCACAACAUUCUGCAUUCAUCACUUUUCUCUCUCAUAACCUCUUCCAAAUAUGUGCUCCAGACUCUCACCCAGAAAGUCUGAGAAAAUUAUAUUUAGGUGCCUGACAGUACUUCCCAGCUGCAGCCUAUAUAAGUAUGCCUUCAACUAUUAAUCAAAGCCUUUACUUCAACAGUUUCACUAACUACCCAUAUUGGCCAUCUCUGGAAAUGUGAAGACCUGAAAACUGCCUAAUGUUUCCUCUAGUCUAACAUUCAGUGCCACAGAGAGCGUUAUGGGAUAGAUGAUCAUCACCGUCACCCUUGAUAGUGAUCAUCAUCGUCACUCCUAGGAAGAUGGAGACUAUUCCCCCCCAAAUUUUCAUUUCCUUUAGUAUAUAUUUAAUCAGUCAUGCAAGAAUUCAUGCGAACUCCUAAGUACAUUUAAAUUCAGCCCAUGGACACAAACUCAGUACAUUAAUAUCUCACAUAAGAAGUAUGUCUAAUUUUAUCAUAUGUUUUCCUCUAGUUUGUGAAGUCUCAGAAUUUAAUGAAUAAGCCUGCAUCCAAUUCAACCACAGUUUUACAGAUUUCAAUUAGCAUUCUUGAAUCAGCAUUCCAGUGUAGAACUCAGAGUUUUUAAAAACUUCUUAUUACUACAUCCUGAACUUUUGAUUUGGGGGAAGUCAGACUCUUGGCCCAGUUAAAACAUCAACUGAGGAAAUUACCUCUUGGUUCCAAUUACCAUAUUAGAAUUACCUCAAAGCUAAGUAAAGGCCAUAUCAUAGAAUUCCUUCUGUCCCCAGUUCAUGCAAAUUAUCAAAAAAUGUUUCAAAACAAUAUAUCCUUACAGAGUUAUUUGCUGUCUAAUUUGUCAAACUGUUCAGGUUUUGCCAUUCUGAAAGCCCCUCCCUACCCAAAUGUCUUAGGUUUUCCUACAUCUUGAAGCUUUUGCCCAAGACUCUAUUAGCAGCUAGCCCAGCCCCCACUUUUUUUUUUCUGGAGCUGGGUAUCAAACUCAGGGCCUCAUGUAUUUAAGCAAGUGCCCCACCACUGAGCAACACCCUCAGCCUAGGCAAAACUUUUUAAAAAAUCUCCUUUCUCCAAUUUUCCCCAGACACCUACCCUCUCUUGCCCAGAGUUCUCUUUUCCUUCACCUCUUCCCUUCCCCAAGCUCCUGGUACCAUGUUACCACUGCUUCUCAGCUUUCCUCUUCCUCCUACCUUCCUCCUCUAUAAAAUGGCACUUGCUGUGUAGAUUCUCCCAUUCUCUUCCUAGGAGACACACACACAAAGCACUGAUCUCUGCGGUGACGCUGGAGUUCAAGGGAUUGCAGUGAAAAUGGGGAAAUCAGAAUUUUUCAUAGAGAAUCUGGAUGGAAAGAGGAGGAGGCUGUGAAUGCUAUUAAUUUUUAAGAAAUCAGAUAUAUAUAUAUAUAUAUACACACACACACAUACAUUUACUUUUAUU
rnacentral:lncRNA from 1 species